AGGUAUAGGAGAUAAAAUCAAAAUAUAGCCUUUUGGUGGCUGAUGUGGGAUCGAACCAUUUGGCUAACAAAUAUCCACAUGAACCCUCCAAACAACAUUUGCAGCUUCGGACGGCGCCCGAAAUUCCUUAAUAGUGGGAGAUAGGUCCAAAGUAGAAUACCCGAAGUCUUUCUGUGCUGAAUCUCCAGUUCUUUCAAGAAUAUCGCUGCCGAAGUGCUUUGUAGGUCAACAACUUCGGGCCAAAUAAUUGUCACGAAUAUCUUUGUGAACUUCCCGAAGAACACACCCUGCUUCGGAUGGAACCAAAUGUUUAAGUAAUGAUGACGAAAAAGGUCCUUCGAUAAAGAUUCUCAUCCAUGAGAACAAAAUGGACACUCUUGUAC
rnacentral:lncRNA from 1 species